UCCAAUGUGGUGUAGUGGUUAACAUUGCUGUCUUUCAUUAAGGUUCUUCGCACAGCAGCCCGGGGUUCGAUUCCCCGCAUUGGAA
rnacentral:tRNA from 2 species